rnacentral:rRNA from 1 species
CAGCCGCCGCGGUAAUACGUAGUGUGCUGCAAGCGUUAAUCGGAAUUACUGGGCGUAAAGCGUGCGCAGGCGGUUUUGUAAGUCUGAUGUGAAAUCCCCGGGCUCAACCUGGGAAUUGCAUUGGCAGACUGCAAGGCUAGAAUCUGGCAGAGGGGGUGUAGAAUUCCACGUGUAGCAGUGAAAUGCGUAGAGAUGUGGAGGAACACCGAUGGCGAAGGCAGCCCCCUGAGUCAAGAUUGACGCUCAUGCACGAAAGCGUGGGGAGCAAACAGGAUUAGAUACCCUGGUAGUCCACGCCCUAAACGAUGUCUACUAGUUGUCGGGUUUUAAUUAACUUGGUAACGCAGCUAACGCGUGAAGUAGACCGCCUGGGGUGUACGGUCGCAAGAUUAAAACUCAAAUGAAUUGACGG